rnacentral:rRNA from 1 species
UUAAUUGGAGAGUUUGAUCCUGGCUCAGGACGAACGCUGGCGGCGUGCCUAACACAUGCAAGUCGAGCGGGGUUAUUGGGGUUCAGCUUGCUGAACGCCACUGACCCAGCGGCGGACGGGUGAGUAACGCGUGAGUAAUCUGCCUCAUACAGGGGGAUAACAGGCGGAAACGCCUGCUAAUACCGCAUAAGACCACGCCACCGCAUGGUGGAGCGGUCAAAGGGUGCACAGACGAGAGGCUGUGCAUACCGGUAUGAGAUGAGCUCGCGUCCCAUUA